UGUCUAAUCUGUAAACCAAAGCUGUGUAUAUGCAGAAAAUGUGACAUUAAAAUAUGUACUUAUAUUAUCAUUGUGUUGCCCUUAAGGCAUUUGUUUACUUUUUUUAUAUUUUCGCUUUAGUAAUUCAUUUGUAAUCAUUUUCUAGUUAAAGUUAAGGUUGUUGUAAGCAAAUUCGUUGUCUGUGAUAUAUCACGCAUGCAAAGACGUCACAUCCGGUUUUGCUGUGUCUUGUGGGAAAAUACCGGUUUGGAGAAACAGGAAGGAGGGGGCUUAUGUGUGCAGGAUCAGCGUGAGAGAAGUUUUCUUUCUACGCACUAGAAACAUCAUAGAAGCAAUGCCUUUUCACCAUACGUUAAUGUGGAAGAGUGAACAGUAAAUGGUUAAUCUUACUGGGAUCGCGCCUCAUUGACUCCGGUUUAUACUUGGUGUUUAGUUCAGAGUUUUUACACCUGUGCGAGAACACUACAGUGAAAACGCGGCGUUACCAGGUGUUUCAAGUGCUACGAUGGCAUCGCGAUCCAGCAUCAAGUCGUUGCCAUCCAGCACCAGGAGCAGUAGGGCAUCAACAAAUAAGACUGCCCACGCAAGAGCUAAAGCAGAAACUGCUAAGGUGCGAGCAUCAUACGCUGAACAGGUAGCAAAACUGAAAAUGGAAAAGGCCGCCAGAGAAGCCAAAAACCAGUUAGAAGGGGUAAGGAUAGAAGCAGAGUUAGAAGUGCUGAUGCUACACCAAGAAGCCGAAGCUGCCAGGGUGGAAGCAGAGUUAUUAGAAACUGCUGAAGAAAUGCAUGUUCUGGAAGAAGUAAAAUCUACUUCAGAAAGGACCAGAUUGGAACGCACUAGAGACUACGUCCGAUCUCAAAUGGACUUGAAAAUACGUUCUUCCUCUCUAUACUUAUAUGCUAACGUCCCAUUUCAUGAGGAGUCAAAGAGAGGCCCAAUUGCAUCACAUCCAUCUGAGGAAGACAAUUUACCCUUGCAACUUUGCGACGAAUUCAAGAAUGAAAGGGCUGAUGACAAACAUUUCUCGACACCAAACUUACCAGUUUUGGCGAGAGGAGAGGCAAAGGCUGAAUUCAGAACAGCUAAUCCCAUAACAAAUGUACACCCUCAGUCAUAUACCCGCCGACAUAUUCCCCCAGCCAGCAUGCCACUUGCAGUUGAACCCAUGGCACAGUAUUUAGCAUGACGAGAUCUCAUCACUUCAGAACCAUACCAGUUUAACGAUAAGCCUGAAAAUUACUGUGCAUGGUACUCCUCAUUCGCCAAUGCUAUCCACGGAAUCCAGCUUGGAGCAACCCAAGAGUUGGAUCUUAUGAUGAAAUGGCUGGGGAAAGAAUCAUGUGAACAGGUGAGAUGCAUACGUUCAGUGUACAUCAACAACCCCAAGCUAGCCUUUCGCAAAGCAUGGGAGAGACUUCGGGAGUGCUAUGUGGCCCCUGAAAUUAUUGAAACGGCACUAUUACGACAUCUGGAAAAUUUUCCUAAGGUGUCAGCCAAGGACCACACUAAGUUAAGAGAGCUCGGAGAUCUACUCAUGGAGAUUGAAGGCGCUAAAGAAGACGGCUAUUUAACUGGCCUGUCAUAUUUAGAUACUUCAUAUGGGAUUAGACCAAUUGUGGACAAACUUCCAUUUGGGCUGCAGGAAAGGUGGGUGUCUGUUGACUCAGAGUACAAGGAAGAGAACGAUGGUCGAUUUCCUCCCUUUGAGUAUUUCACUAGGUUUGUGUGCAAGGAGGCGAAGAAUCGAAAUGACCCUAGCUUCAUGAGUCAAGGUAGCAGUACAAUUCACACCAAGCCAGUCAAAUCCACUUUGAAUAAUUUUAACAUCAAUAAACCUGUCUCAGUGCGUAAAACUGAAGUCUCUGCAACUAACAAUGACCCUAGCGAGAAUUGUCCAUUGCACAACAAACCCCAUCCCCUCAAAAAAUGCAGAACAUUUAGGAAAAAAUCCUUUGAUGAGAGAAUGGCCCUUCUCAAGGAAAGAAAUAUGUUUUAAAUGCUGUUCCUCUAGCUCUCACCUCACUAGAGAGUGUACGAUCCCCGUGAAGUGUCCGGAAUGUAAUAGCACUAAUCAUGAUGGGACCAUGCACUCCGGCCUGUUACCGCAAACUGACAAAGCUCCUUCACCCUCACAAAAGGAUGGCGGGGAGGGAGAGGAUCACUCCAAGACAACUGUUGUCAGCUCGAGCUGCACAGAAGUUUGCGGUCAAGGUCAAUCAAGCCAUUCUUGUUCAAAGAUCUACCUCACUAAGGUGUACCCUGAGGGAGCCAAAGACAAGGCCAUCAAAGCCUAUGUAAUUCUGGACAACCAGAGCAAUUGCUCACUAGUCAGACCAGAGUUCUUUGACUUGUUCAAUGUAGAGAGUAAUUGGUUCCCUUACUACCUUAGAACUUGCUCAGGCAACGUAGAAAGAUAUGGAAGGAAGGCAGAAGGCUUCCAGCUUGAGUCGCUGGAUGGUGAAGUUGUCAUCUGUCUCCCUCCGCUCUUAGAGUGCAAUGAUAUUUUGAAUAACCGCACGGAGGUCCCGACGCCAAGUGCUGUGCGACACCAGCCGCAUCUCCAAGCACAUCCCAGAAAUGGACCCAAAAGCAGAAAUAAUCCUGCUACUAGGAAGAGAUGUUCUCCAGGUGCACAAGGUCAGGCAGCAGGUCAAUAGACCACACGAUGCCCCCUUUUCCCAACGUCUGGAUCUGGGCUGGGUGGUGAUAGGAGAGGUGUGCCUUGGCAAUGUACACAAACCGACAGUUAACACACUCAAGACCAAUGUGCUAGAGAGUGGCCACCAUUCAAUUUUUCAACCCUGCACAAACUUCAUGUGUAUCAAGGAAGCACGACAGGGCUUUAAAAAGUGUAGUAUAGUAACUGACAAGACACUGGGACAGUCAGUCUUCGCUCAAACUGAGCAUGAUAAUAAACUUGCUCCAUCAGCACAAGACGUCAUCUUCUUAAAAAUAAUGGACACCAAGGUCUUCAGAGAUGAAGCAAAUAAUUGGGUCGCCCCACUACCUUUCAGAGAACCACGCCAGCGCUUGCCAAACAACAAACAGCAGGCAGUCAAGAGGUUCACGUCUUUGCAAAAAACUCUGAAAAGGAAACCUGAGAUGCAGCAACAAGACGUAGCAUUCAUGGAGAAGAUCUUCGCUAAUGGACAUGCCAAGCUAGCACCGCCACUGAGAAAAGGCAAGGAGUGCUGGUACCUCCCAAAGUUUGGGGUUUACCACCGACAAAAGCCCAAUCAGAUCAGGGUGGUCUUUGACUCCAAUACUCAGUGUGCUGGUAUCUCCCUUAAUGAUGUGCUCCUUACAGGCCCCGACCUCAACAAUACCCUUCUUGGGAUACUGCUGCGUUUCCGGAAGGAGAAGGUCGCAAUCCUAGCGGACAUCCAGCAGAUGUUCCUUUGCUUCUUAGUACAGGAAGACCAUCACAAUUUCCUCUGUUUCUUAUGGCACAAGGACAAUGACAUUAACAAGGAAGUCAUUGAGUACCGGAUGAAAGUCCACGUUUUCGGCAAUAGUUCCAUCACCUGCCGUGGCCAUCUAUGGGCUGCGAAGAGCCAUCAGGAGCAUGGCGAUGACACCGUUAAGUCUGUGGAAAGGCACUUCUACGUCAAUGAUGGCUUGAUAACGCUACGGAAACAAGACAAAGCAAUUGAUCUGCUCUGACAUACACAAGCCUCACUCGCUGAGUCAAACCUCCGGUUGCACAAGUUCGCAUCAAACUGUCAGACAGUAAUGGAGGCCUUUCCACAUGAUGACUGUGCUCCGGCAAUCAAAGACCUAGAUCUAGAUGGAGAAACCAUACCCACACAAAGGAGUUUGGGCCUCCUUUAGGAGAUUACAAUUGAUACAUUCACGUUCUCUGUGCCGACCGUGAUCAAGCCAUUCACCCGCUGUGGAGUUCUCUCCACUGUCAACAGUGUUUUUGAUCCCUUGGGUCUACUGGCACCAGUUAUGAUCCAGGGAAGAGUCCUUCUCAGAGAACUUACCUCCAAGCUCUCCAACUGGGAUACUCCCCUACUAGAAGACAAGCUAAACAGAUGGGAGGCUUGGAGAGAUUCACUUCAAGAUCUAAAACAUCUUCAUAUCCCAUGUAGGUACACUGCAGACAAAUUGGCUCAAGCAAAGGAUGUCAUCCUUAAAGCAACUCAAAGGGCAGCUUUUGUAAGGGAGUUUUUGGCCCUCCAAGUUAAUAAACCAAUAUCAAAGGACAGCCCUUUGAGGAAACUCAACCCGAUCCUGAAGAAUGAUCUCAUUUGCAUUGGAGGCCGGUUAAUACACUCUCACCUUUCAGCUGCAGAAAAGAGCCCAGUAAUCCCACCCAAGGCAGCCAUGUGUCCUUACUGCUUACUCGCCAUCACCAUGAACAGGUAAGGCAUCAGGGCCGUCACCUGACAGAGGGAGCAAUCAGGGCAGCGGGACAGUGGAUCUUGGGAGGCAAAACACUGAUCAAUUUGGUACUCCACAGAUGUGUAACCUGCAGGAAACUGUGAGGGAAGAUGGAAGCUCAACGUAUGGCGGACCUCCCACCAGAACGCCUCAAUGCCUGCCCUCCUUAUACAUAUGUGGGGCUCGAUGUAUUUGGUCCCUGGAUGCACCAGAGGAGGACAAGCAGAGAGCAAACGGUGGGCCACCAUGUUCAGCUGCAUUAAUGCUCUCAGGCGCUUCUUUGCACUAAGAGGCCCUGCAAAACAGUUAAGAUCUGAUUGCGGCAUGAACUUUGUUGGAGCAUCAAAGGAGCUCAGGAUGGACAAGAUGAUGCAAAGGUACCUCAGUGAGCAGGGAUACAACUGUGAGUUCAACACACCACACGCCUCUCACAUGGGAGUCUCAUGGGAGUGGAUGAUUGGUUUCACCAGAAGGAUCCUUGAUUCAAUGUUUCUGCAGCAACGCAGUCGAAUGACCCUCAAAGUACUGUGAACACUAAUGGCAGAGGUUACAGCCAUUAUAAAUGCACGACCUCUCCUACCUGUCUCCUCUGACCCGGAAAGCCCCUUCAUAUUCUCGCCAUUAAUGCUCCUUACACAGAAGACAGGAGCUCCCCCUCCACCUGGGGAAUUGUCAGAUAAGGAUUUGUACACAAAGCAAUGGAGACAGGCUCAGGCUCUUGCAAAUCAGUUCUGGUCUCGUUGGAGACAUGAAUAUCUACCUUUGUUGCAACACAGACAAAAGUGGACAGAACCUCUCGGGAAUCUUCAAGUUGGAGAUUUAGUCCUGCUCAGGGACAAGCAGAUCGCCCGCAACUGCUGGCCAAUGGCCAGAAUCACUGCCACAUUCCCUGGUAGGGAGGGGCAUGUCAGGAAAGUUGAGUUGAAAACUUCUGACCAAGGUGAUGUGAAAACUUACCAAAGGCCAGUUGCAGAAGUCAUUCUACUUCUACCUAAGGACUGAUUUAGAGACUAAAAUUUGUAUUAUGUUCAUUGUGACCUUACGAAGGUCAGGCGGGGAUUGUGUUGCCCUUAAGGCAUUCGUUUAGUUUAUUAUAUUUUCGCUUUAGUAAUUCGUUUGUAAUCGUUUUCUAGUUAAAGUUAAGGUUGUCGUAAGUAAAUUCGUUGUCUGUGAUAUAUCACGCAUGCAAUGACGUCACACCCGGUUUUGCUGCGUCUUGUGGGAAAAUACCAGUUUGGAGAAACAGGAAGGAGGGGGCUUGUGUGUGCAGGAUCAGCGCAAGAAAAGUUUUCUUUCUACGCACUAGAAACAUCAUAGAAGCAACGCCAUAAGUUCAUAAGACCCCUGUAUAAAGGUGAUUGGGGCACUGCUCCUCCCUCAGUCUUCGACAUGGUUGUGCUCCCUUUUCGCUGUUAAUAAAAGCCUAUCGUUCACUUCCAGUCUCCUAAAGUUAUUGAUGGUGCAUCAGAUAAUAAUCACAUUUUUGUGAAAAGUGAGUAUUAACAUUUCUUAAAAUGACAUCAAGGUGUGCUGAUUCCUGAAAUUCAGGCCCACUUAUUUUCUAAAAUACAGGGCUUGCUUCUGCUAUUAAGGAUGCAUUUAUGGAUUAUGGGGUGUUAUAUCACAGAGGCACUAAGUCCAAGCCUUUAUUUUGUGGACAACUCAUUUCUACCCCAGCAGAGACAUUUUUCCCCGUUCAUACAGCUGAAGUAUUUUCCAUCUUGCCUUUCUGCCUACCACUCCCGAAUGAACAGUUCUGCUAACGCCCACUUGCUGAGUAACAUCAACCUCCUACAAUUCUCAAGUGCAGCUUUUAACUUCCUUCCUCUACAUCAACUGAUGUACCAUCUCCUAACCUGAACCCUCUGUCACUUAGUAUUCCCCCCUCCCCUUCCAGCUAUACCCUUUCCUCAGCCCCUUACAAUUUCCUUUUUGUUGUUCCCUUUUCAGUUUUCCCACUGAUGGUCUACUUGCGUCUCUUUCAUCUUCUAGUUUUGUAGCAUUUAGUUCCUCAUCCUAUUUGAUUGUGUGACCUGAAGACAAUACUUCAUCUUCAUUGUCUGUGUGCAAAGCCGUAAUUGAUUGACUGUUGUUUUAAAAUUAAAGAUCCUCCAACAGGAAUUGACCUUGCAUAGCUCAAGAUCCAUGGCAACAGCAAAAUAUUAGUGUGCCAAAAUUGAUUGAAGUAUCAUAGUCUG